UAGGGAAUCUUCCGCAAUGGACGCAAGUCUGACGGAGCAACGCCGCGUGAGUGAAGAAGGAUUUCGGUUCGUAAAACUCUGUUGUUAGAGAAGAACAGCGCAUAGAGUAACUGUUAUGCGUGUGACGGUAUCUAACCAGAAAGCCACGGCUAACUACGUGCCAGCAGCCGCGGUAAUACGUAGGUGGCAAGCGUUGUCCGGGUUUAUUGGGCGUAAAGCGAGCGCAGGCGGUCAAUUAAGUCUGAUGUGAAAGCCCCCGGCUCAACCGGGGAGGGUCAUUGGAAACUGGUUGACUUGAGUGCAGAAGAGGAGAGUGGAAUUCCAUGUGGAGCGGUGAAAUGCGUAGAUAUAUGGAGGAACACCAGUGGCGAAAGCGGCUCUCUGGUCUGUAACUGACGCUGAGGCUCGAAAGCGUGGGGAGCGAACAGG
rnacentral:rRNA from 1 species